AAAAAGGCCCUUUUCAGGGCCGCCCACGUUUUUCACGAAAGAUCUGU
rfam:Felis catus isolate Cinnamon breed Abyssinian chromosome B2, whole genome shotgun sequence.